GCGCGCCGAUGCUGCCCAGCCCCAAGAUCCCCACGCGCUUGCCGCUCACCUGGAAAUGAAAUUAAGGCCUUGUAUAGUUUCCAAAAAUUUUCAAUCAAGAUUCCUCAUCACAUCGAAUCUUGCGUCACAUGCAUGAAGCAUUAAAUAUAGAUGAAAACAAAAACUAAUUACGCAGUUUACUUGUAAAUCGCGAGACGAAUCUUUUGAUACUAGUUAGUCUAUAAUUGAAUAAUAUUUGCCACAAACAAACAAAAGUGCUACAGUAGCAAAAUCUAAAUUUUUUCUCAAACUAAACAAGGCCUAAGUAUGAGUCAUAUCAAAUUUUGUUCUGUUAUUUUCUCUCUCUCUCUCUCCGAUUCAGCCAAACAAAAACAGCACCACUAUGGAUUUGUUUUUGUAAAGGUAAAUGUUUAUGCAUGGAUUUGCUUCUGUCGUUUUAGAGCCUGAGAUUCUAUCAGUUUGCAAAGCUCUAAACUCUAAUGAAGAUAAUCAAUCGAUCCAACCUUAUGGUACAACGAAAAUAGGCUAAAUUGCUCAACAAUGAGCUUAAUUAGAGGGGAUGAGUUUGCCAACAUGCUUGUAAACAUUUGGACCUUUGUAUACUGUUCACUCUUGGACCUUUUAGAUGCGCUAUUGGGCCUUUUAGAUGCUUUUUAAGACUUAGCUGGGCCGUGAAUUGUGGAUACAUAAUAAUUGCAAA
rnacentral:lncRNA from 1 species